rnacentral:rRNA from 1 species
CGGGCAUACAGGUGCGACACGGAGUAGUCAGCUUGUUUCGUGAGAUGUUGGGUUAAGUCCAGCAACGAGGGCAACCGUCGUCCUUAGUGGGUAACAGUUCGGGGGAGGAGUGGGAGUGGACGGCCUACGCUAGUAGGAGGAAGGAGAGGAGAACUUCAAGUAAUCAUGGUCCCACAGUCCAGGGAAACAUACGUCAUACAAUGGGGUAGACAAAGAGCAGCAAUGCCCUCUAAACAGCAAUCUCAAAAAGCAACCCAGUAAGAUAUGUAGCGAUCGAAUUGUCCUUACUAAUAAACGUUCGAAAAAAAA